GACGAACGCUGGCGGCGUGCUUAACACAUGCAAGUCGAACGAAGUGGCGAACGGGUGAGUAACGCGUAAUCAACCUGCCCUUCAGGGGGGGACAACAGUUGGAAACGACUGCUAAUCCCGCAUACUGAAGGAGGGGAUUGCGUCUGAUUGGCUCGUUGGGGGGGUAACGGCCCACCAAGGCGAUGAUCAGGAGCCGGGCUGGUAGGAUGAACGGCCACAAGGGGACUGAGACACGGCCCAGACUCCUACGGGAGGCAGCAGUGGGGAAUCUUCCGCAAUGGACGAAAGUCUGACGGAGCAACGCCGCGUGAGUGAUGACGGCCUUCGGGUUGUAAAGCUCUGUUAAUCGGGACGCGGUACCGGAAUAGAAAGCCACGGCUAACUACGUGCCAGCCGCCGCGGUAAUAC
rnacentral:rRNA from 1 species